rnacentral:tRNA from 2 species
GGGGGUGUAGCUCAGCCUGGCAGAGCGCUUCGUUCGCAACGAAGAAGUCGUCGGUUCAAAUCCGAUCACCUCCA